rnacentral:tRNA from 1 species
GUGGCACAAAUGGUUAAGCAUUUGGCUGCUAACCAAAAGACUGGUGGUUCAGGCCCACCC